rnacentral:lncRNA from 1 species
AUGGGGACCCUGGGGUUUGUCCCUUCUCCCUUCUCCCACCACGUGUCUGCAGGGCUGGAGGAAAGCAGUGCUGGGAGAGCUGCUGCUGCCACCGGGCCCCUGCCCUGCCCAGCACAGGGUGCUGGGCUCUGGCCAGGAGGAGCUUUAGUGCCCACACGCCUAUCCAUCUGUAUUUUCCUUCUUAGCCAUUUUUCCGGUUGCCAUUGCAUUCUUUGUGGGACUCGCCAUAGGAGCUGUAAUUGUAGGGAAAAAACAAAAGGCCUGACUCUGCACUGCAAGCAUCAGCAGCAGACACUGUGCUGUCUGUUAAAAGAACUGGUGACCAUGGCAGUGAAUAGAAGAUUUCCUUCCUUUCAAGUAGCCUGAUUCAAUGUCUUCCCCCUGCUGGAACUGGAAAGCCCCCCAGCUUCCCCUUUAACAGCAGUUGGAUUACUUUGAGCAAUAAAUGCUUUGAAAGCUUUAACA